CGAACGCUGGCGGCGUGCUUAACACAUGCAAGUCGACCGGAAAGGCCCCUUUGGGGGUACUCGAGUGGCGAACGGGUGAGUAACACGUGAGUAACCUGCCCUUGACUUCGGGAUAACUUCAGGAAACUGGGGCUAAUACCGGAUAGGAAUCCUUGCUGCAUGGUGGGGGUUGGAAAGCUUCGGCGGUUUUGGAUGGACUCGCGGCUUAUCAGCUUGUUGGUGGGGUAGUGGCUUACCAAGGCUUUGACGGGUAGCCGGCCUGAGAGGGCGACCGGCCACAUUGGGACUGAGAUACGGCCCAGACUCCUACGGGAGGCAGCAGUGGGGAAUAUUGCACAAUGGGCGGAAGCCUGAUGCAGCAACGCCGCGUGCGGGAUGACGGCCUUCGGGUUGUAAACCGCUUUCAGCAGGGGCGAAGCUUGUGGUGACGGUACCUGCAGAAGAAGCACCGGCUAACUACGUG
rnacentral:rRNA from 1 species